GGAGGAGGAGGAGGAGAAAGUGGCUCUCAGCGGCCGGUCGGAUUAAAAGUAACCAGACUCGUCCAGAAAACUGCGUCCAGGAAGGAAGUGACAGAAGACGAAUGGGAAAAGGAGAACAGCUCACAGCGUUUGAAACAUCGCGGCACCACUUUCAGAUAAAAACAUAGACCUGAAUGGCAUCAUCCAGUAUCCAAGGAAACCAUUGUGUCUGUAACCAGCUAAUGAGCUGCAACAGAGCCUGGCCUUCAUUUUCAGCAAAUUAAGUUCAUCCCUCAUAGGAAUUGUGGUCUGGCUGUGGCACCGCUCCUAGACAUGACAAACUCCAAAAGGAAACCCAAGCAGCUAUUUGGCUCCCUUAAUUAAUGAAGUCGCCCAGUAUGGAUAAUUCAGGUUCUCUAAACAUGAAUAUGCCUUUGGGGGAAGACAGAAGAACAUGGAAGCCAUGUGAAAAAAACGGAUCCUAAGGCAGUUUUGAACAUCUGGAGGCCUGAUUUAUUGGAGAUUGCAAAUGUACAGUGUAACAUAGCUGUGGAGAGCGAGAAGAUCAGGAUUGUCAAUGCUGUCAUUGCUUUUACUGGAAUCCCCAGCACGAAUUGAAGGUUUGACCAGAGACAAAGAAGCAAAUGCUAUCAAUUAACAUUCACAUGUGGUAGGUCUCACUUUGCCACCUAGGCUGGAUGCAAUGCAACGGUAUGUUGAUCUUGGUUCACUGCAGCCUCAACCUCCUGAGCUCAUGUGAUCCUCCCACCUCAGUCCCCCACGUCGCUUGGAUUACAGGCCUGUGCCACCACACCUGGCUAACUUUUUUUGUAAUUUUUGUAGAGACAGGGUCUCACUAUGUUUCCCAUGCUGGUCUUUAAUGCCUGAGCUCAAGCCAUCCGCCUGCCUCGGCCUCCCAAAUUGCUGGGAUUACAGGCAUGAGCCACCAUGCCCAGCCUAAUUCUUCUAAAUCUUAUCCUAGUAAUUAAGCCAGAAUUUUUCUCUGCCAAGACCAAUAGAUGGACCAAGAAGUACUCAUCCUUGUAAACUUUCUUUGGAUAAAUUGCUUACAUAUAAUAAAUUCAGAGUUAAGUAAUAAAAAUAAUGAACUACUGUCUUG
rnacentral:lncRNA from 10 species